GACGAACGCUGGCGGCGUGCUUAACACAUGCAAGUCGAACGGGUCUGCCCUGUUUUUUGCGGGGUGGGUCAGUGGCGAACGGGUGAGUAACACGUGAGUAACCUGCCCCUCACUUCUGGAUAACCGCUUGAAAGGGUGGCUAAUACGGGGUGUUCUGGCUGUGCCGCAUGGUGUGGCUGGGAAAGAUUCACUUUUGUGGUGUUUUGGUGGGGGAUGGGCUCGCGGCCUAUCAGCUUGUUGGUGGGGUGAUGGCCUGCCAAGGCUUUGACGGGUAGCCGGCCUGAGAGGGUGGGCGGUCACACUGGGUCUGAGAUACGGCCCAGACUCCUGCGGGAGGCAGCAGUGGGGGGUAGUGCACAAUGGGCGGAAGCCUGAUGCAGCGACGUCGCGUGAGGGAUGGAGGCCUUCGGGUUGUGAACCUCUUUCGCCGGUGAAGAAGGUCCUGCUCUUUGUGGUGGGGUUGACGGUAGCCGGGUUAUGAAGCGCCGGCUAACUACGUG
rnacentral:rRNA from 1 species